UACGGACGUUUCGGGAGCCCGACGUUUCGGGACCCGGAUGUUUCGGGACUAGACAACACGUUUCGGGACUUCGAUUAACUUGUUUCGGGACUUCAGAUUCAUCCUCCUGUUCAUCUUCAUCAUCGGGUUCAGCAACUGAUGAACCAAGGGAGGCUAAAGACACGUGAAAUGUGGCAUCAGCUGCAGCUACAAACUGAAAGAAUAUAAUAUAUUUUUAUAGAAGUGUCUAAUAGGGAUUCAUCUACUGAGUGUUCCUGACAUGAAGAAUUAAUUCAUCCAUUUUUAAACCUUAAUUGUCCUAUGUGGAAGCAAAUGCCAAGGAUAUUUCGUUACUAAUUUCCAAUUAUAUGUUCUUAAUUAUUUCAAGAUGUUUAAUACAAAUGUUCUUAAUGUUAAUUUGCAUUCACGUAAAUAUAACGUAUACCAGUACCUCUUCUGUAUCUCUUCUGUAUCAGUAGGUGUUUCCAAGCACCGGGCGCAAACCCACUGGAGGUCUUCUUGCUGUUUCCCUAUUCGUCUAUACUGGUCACGGCUGAUUCCUGUCAUAUUAUUAAAAUUUGUGUUCUUUUACAUUGUUCAUUUGAUGGAAUUUUUUAAUCAUCAUUAUACAUCUGCUUUCCAUUCUUAUUUUUCAUUAAGUAAAAGAAUAAAAUCAUA